CGCAGCAUUCACAAGGAGCUGCAGAAACCCGCUUGGAGUUGCGAGCCGCAGGCAGGGGAUCACGAGAGGGAAGUGUGGGUGUAGAGCAGGCACCCACAAGCAGGAAGGACUGUGACGCGCAGAGCAACGCUGGUGUAGUGGGAGGGUCACCCUGACGCCUCUAAGCCGGCCCCACUCAGAGGCCUGGUCUUCAGGCCCGGUUCGACCUCACAGCAGGCGUCAAAAUCAGCCCCGCGAACUGCAAGAGAAACCACGCCUAGGUGUUCUUAAGGAUCGAGUGCAGAUGCACGUAGGUGACAGCUUUUUGACAACCCAAAAAGACGCGAUCUUUAAAAAGGAAAGAAAAAAAAAAAAACUGCGUGCAAAUGCUAGAGAUUCUUUGGCUGACAUUCGCAUCCAAACCCCCCACCUCUGGGUAAGACGCGGCCACCCAGCCCUCCGGAUGCCAGCGCCAGCCUUGGGCCCCACAGCACGUCCCGCUUUCCACCCCCAGGCCCUGCUGCUCCUGGCUCUGGCACAGGUGAUUUGCUCAUUUGAAAUGUCAUCUGUUCGCCCAGAUGAAUUCCCCCUGCUGGCGUCUUUGCCUGCAGCGUCUCCCUCCCUUCUCUGUGCACAGUACUGAGCUCCUGUCUCUCGGUGACAUGCAAGGCACGCUUGGUCCCUGCUGUUUGUCGUGGGCUGCAUUGUGUCUCCCCAAAAUGCAUGUGUCAACAUCUUAGCCCCAGUCCGGCGGAACGUGACCUCACUUGGAAACAACGGCUGUUGCAGGUGGAAUUAGCUAAGACAAGUUCAUCGAGAUGGGGCCUAAUCCAGUCACUGGUGUCCUCAUAAAAGGGGAGCGCGUGAACACAGACACACACACAGGGAGAAUACCGUGUGAAGGUGAAGGCAGAGAUCAGGGUGGUACAUCUACAAGAUAAGGAACACCCAGGGUGACCAGAAACCGCUAGAAACUAGGCAAGAGGCAGAGCACAGAUUUUCCCUCACAACCCGAGAAAGAACCAACCUCGAUCUCAGACUCCUGGCCUCCAGGACUGUGAGAUAAUAAGUGUCUGUUGUCUAAGCCCCGCAAUCUGUCCGCGUCUUUACAGCGGCCUGAGGGGACCAAUCCACUGCUCAGAAACACCCUGGAAUGUCACAGGGAUCUUAAGGGCUCUUUUGUUUCCGAACUCACCCCUGCUGUGGGGGGAGGAAUAAAUCCUAAUGGGUUUUUUUCAGUCUUUUAGAGUCUGUCCGUGGGAUAAUUUUUCUUCUGAACAUUGGGGAAAAUAUUUGUGCAUGACAAACAGGCUACGUGCGUGGUCACAAUUUUUGUAGGGAGGCGACCCUGCUUGCAGCAAGCAGUGCAUUUGCAGCCCCGCGGCAUGGGUGAGGCAGCUCGGCACAGGAGCAAAAGCACACGGGCCCAGAUGCGACACUCGUGGCUGGCAGUGACGUUGGUUCUGGCCUGAGAGCUCACUGGGCCGUCACGGGAGCAUCUCUGUGUGGAUCUCCACGGGAUUUCUCCACACGCUGAGGGCUCCAUUCUGAGAGGGAACAUUCCUGGAAACUCAAGCAGAUGCUGCAUGGCCUCUUAUGACCUGAUCUCCGGAGCCUCCCAACGCCAUGCCCACUGCAUGCUGAUAGUCAAGUGCCUGGGAGGAGCCCCCCUGGAGGGAGAAGAACCCGAUCCCGCCCUUCCCAUGAAGAGCGGAAUCGACUUGCAAGGUGUUCGUGGCGGUCACCCCAGAGACCGUCCACCUCUUCCCCUCCGUUGACUGGGGACAUUCCCAUUUCACAGGGAAAUUGCAAGAAAUAAACAAGGUAAUGUACAGGAAGCUCACUA